GCGCCUCCUGUGCGCGCCCUUGGUCCUCAGCAACCCCAACUGAGCUUGGAUCAGAGCUGGUGACAGGGGUUGAGCAGUGCGAGCCCCCUUCCUGGGGAGCCACGGACAGCCGACGACCAGGUUUCUUGCUCCACACUUUAAGACACACUUUAAGAGGUUGUUUUUUGUUGUUGUUGUUGUUGUUGUUGUUGUUUUCAGGACUGAGUUGUAAAUCUUCAUUUGACAUUGGACUACUUUAUGGCUGUGCCCUAGCUAAUGCCUUAGCCUCUGCCUUGGUCAGGAAGGGCCCCAGAAUCUGCACGCCUCCCUUUGAUACAAGAUACUUCAACAUGGCCAGUGGGACAGUUCAGUCAGUUCACACCCGAGGGACUCUCCCCAAGUUUAGUACCCAAAUCUAGUCUUCGCCUUCUGGGUUCCUUCUGGUCUCUGCUCCAAAAUCAAGAACUACAAUCUCUGGUCUGAGAGAUGGCUCAAGGAUUAAGACACUGACUACUCUUCCAGAGGACCCCGUUCCAACUCCCAGCCCCCCAGAUGAGGGCUCACAACCAAUCUGUGACCCCUGUGAAAGGGUUGUUCAACAUUCCUCAAGGAGUUCGGGACCCACGGGCUGAGAACCACUGACCUAAAGGAAUCACCACCUUCUCAGAAAGAUGUCCUCAGCUUUUAUUGUGCAGAACACACAGACUGAGCCCCUAACACAGACUCACCAGUACCUUUGGCUGUCUUCUUCAACACGUGAAUGCUAUGCCCGGCGGCGGCGGCGCUUACAUCCAAGAAAUGGACAACUGGCCAGGCCCUUCAAUACCAGCAGUUGGAAGCAGAGGAAGGCCAAUUUUGGUGAAUUCGGGACUAACCUGGGCUACACAGUGAGACCCGUCUCGAGAAAAUCAAUAAAGGACGCUAACAAGCGAGGCCCUGGAGAGACGGCCCAUCCGGUAAGAGCGAGCCCUCGCAGAAGCCCCGAGCUCAAUCUCAGCCCCCGUGUUGGAACUCCACCUUCAGCGGGUGCCACACUCGUGUGUACAUAUCCACACGCAAACACCUAGACACCUGUACACAAUUUAAAAUGGAGGGGAAAAAAAUCUCUAAGUAACUUAGGAGAUCGUUCUGGAAUACUUAGUAAAAUAAAGACAUCUGCCUUGGCAGGCCUUAACCAAUCUUACUGAUGCCUUAGAAGAGAUGAAGGCGAAAUGAGGAGGGGAGGCAGGGUGUGUGUUUCCCUUCUGUGUGAGAGAACGGAGGGAGAGAGCAGCCUUGGAGUCAAUGAGAGAAGGCUCCAAAGAAACCAACCCCACUGACCCUUUGACCUUGAAUGCUCACCCUCCAGUCCCCUGGGACCAUCAAUGUCUGUGUGUUUACCCCACUCCCGGUCUGUGGGGUUUGUCAUGAUAGCCCAAGGAAACUAACUUGGUGGAAAUAUUUACGAA